UAAGAACGAAAUUGCCACAUAUAAAAAAGGCUAGAUCGAGCAACACAAAUAAUUAAGCUCUUAUUUACUUAUCAACGAUUUAAUUACUUCAAUCCAGCUACAGCAUGCAAGAUGGUUUUGAGAGACAAAUCCAUCUCCCCAUGAGGCCAUGCAUGACCAUGAACACCAGGAUGAUCAAACCCCAUAUAUAAUCCGCUCUAACUGUAGUAGCAACAAACAAGAAGUGAAUGGCAUGGGGGGAACUCCAUCGAUCUGACGCCGACCUCGAUCACCUCCUACAUCUUGAGGAAGAAUAGUUCUUGAUGCAUCUUGGCUUCUUUAGGUCGUAGGAAUGCUCCCUCUCCAAAGCUAGUUAUAUACUGCAAAUAUCUCUCCUAAGCUAGCUUAAUGCUCACAUGCUAAUCCCAAACUGAUGAGAAGCAACGAUGAGGACUGCAUAUAUACACUGAACCUGGACGCCUUCCUCACCUUUUCCUUCUCCCUUUUUAGCUUAUGGUUUUGGGAUUUGGCAGUCAUCGAUUAUCUGGUAGCAGGGAAAAUGCUGCCAUCCUACUUUGUGUGUGUCGUCCUGCCUUUUUCUCUUUUAUGACGCGUGCCCAUACAGUCAUAUAUGCAUAAUGUCAAGUAGUCUAUACUACUUGCACAAAAUUAAAGCCCUCCUAUCUGGUCAUAACUACCGCUCCCUCCGUUUCACGAUAUAAGGCCUUCCCUCC
rnacentral:lncRNA from 1 species